CAGGUCCUACGGGACGCAGCAGUGAGGAAUAUUGGUCAAUGGUCGGGAGACUGAACCAGCCAAGCCGCGUGAGGGAUGAAGGUACAGAGUAUCGUAAACCUCUUUUGUCAGGGAACAAAGGCGGGGACGCGUCCCCGGAUGAGUGUACCUGAAGAAAAAGCAUCGGCUAACUCCGUGCCAGCAGCCGCGGUAAUACGGAGGAUGCGAGCGUUAGCCGGAUUUAUUGGGAUUAAAGGGUGCGUAGGCGGAAUGCCAAGUCAG
rnacentral:rRNA from 1 species